AGCGCACUAUGGUUUGAGAUGGCAGCCCUGGAAGGCUGUAGUCAUACCGUAUGGCCUUGAAUAGCCACAAGUAGAGCACACUUGAAACCAGCUGCUGAUUCAAAAUGCUGUUACCAGUCAUCUGGAAAACCCAGGAGAGCACUCUGUUGCAGUAGCUUUGCAGAGGGGAAGAAGGAAAAAGAAAUACUCCCUUUUUAGGGUAGCAUUCUCUCUUCAUUGAAAUUAAUGGAGAUACUUUUAUCAGUGGCUUCACUUCUGAAUUAUGUAUUUUCUUGAUUAAAUGCUGUGAACUGUAGAGAGAGGAGGUCUGAAAGGUUUUUAAGGGUGGUGACAUGUUCAGUGCCUGGAGCAGUGUGUUUCAUUUAAUAUUGGGAAGGAGUUAUUUUUCUGUUGUUUGGCUGGGUCUUUUUAAAUUGAUAGUAAGUAAUUAAUAAUUGAUAAUAAUAAGUUGAUAGUAACUAAGUCAUUAUAAGUCAGCAUAGCAGAUCCAGGUGACAUGUAUGUAUGCAUAUAAACAUAUUAUAACACUGUAUAUGUACAGAGCAAAUUAAACCAUCCCAGGGCAGAAAAAGGCUCAGAGGAGCUGCACAGAGGAAAGUAGAGGGAUGAGGGAAGCAUUGGCUCAGGAGUUGUUCAAACUCGAUAUCGGAAGGGCAAUGAAAGCCGUGAUGCCCACACGGACCAAACGCAGCUUUUUUUUUAGCAGAGAAGCCAACUUCCACAAAGAAAACUGGGAAGGAAACAGUGCCAUUUCAGCUGGAGCUUACCUCAGCCUGAGGUUUAGCAAGGUUUCUGCUAUGGUGUGAAUGACAUGGAAAAGGAAAAUCCCUUUCCUGUGCCAAACAGGUGAGGCAUCUGCUGGGACAGCACGAUCUCACAAUGCUAAAGGUUGUGAAGCCUCAGGUGAGGUCCCAGACACCACGCAGCGCAGUGGGGAGCUUCAAUAUCACUGGGAUUUCACCCCUUGGCCAGAGAACUGAAGUGUGCUUUUAAUUUCCUCGUGUGCUCAGGUGUGUUCAGCAGAGCACUAAAUCGCCUGCCUGAGCACUCGCAGGCCUCCACCAGGACAAUGCAAGAGUUGUCAUGAGCAAAGGCAUCCUGAAAUUUCUGUACUGAGAUCAGAUGGGAUGUGGUUUGGAUGAUGACAUCCUGCCAGUAACCAGGAGUGGACAAAGCUGUGUAACGAUGCUUUUCUUGCUGCAGACCUGCUGUUCCCAGCCAUAGGAUUCCAUUUAUAAAAGCUUGUUAAAAAUGACACUGCUCUCUGGGUUAUUUAACUUGCUCUGUUUCCAGUUAGCCACUGCUAAACCUUACAAAAGAAAGAGGUUUUUAACUUCCUGCCUGGUGUGUAUCCAGACGUCAGAAACCUCCACAGAAGGAAGAGAAAUUAGCUCUGAUCCCUUUCUGCCAGCAUAGGAUUAUUUUGCAUCACACUGGUUUUGAAGUUCAUGCCUAAUCCAGUUUUACACAUCUUGGGGAACUGGGCUUCUUCUUAUGACUUCUUCUGCAAAACAGUAGGGUGGUGGUGCCUCUGAUAUAGAGGUACUUACUUGAUACAGAUGCUUCAAUUUGCAUUUGCAUUACUGCAUCCCAUUUUAUUCUGUGCCAUACACAUAGUGUUGCAGCUCCAUGGUGUAUGGCUUACAAAAGCUUAUGGAUCAUUACUGUGCUCACUAUACACUUAGUUGAACUAUAUAUAUUUAAACUGCACUGCAGAGAACUGUGUGUGAGUUGUGUGUAGGUCUCCAAACUGUUGAACAUAUUUACACACAAAAGGGCUUAUAGUAUGCAGUGUGGAUCUUAGUGCAUGAAAAUGGCUCGUAUGAAAUGAGCUAAAGAGCCGUGCAUGUAGAAAUACUGCUUAUCAAGGCAAAGGGGAGGGUUGUGUCACUGUUUUCCAGCAAACUGGAAGGUUUAAAAUUGUCAGUCCUGAGUUUGGUUUUUAAUGCACCACAUUUUAUACAUGAUGAGUUUGUAAAAACAUGCUUUCUUCCUAAUAAAUGUGUAUUUUCAGGUGUAAAAAAA